UACGAAGGGUGCAAGCGUUACUCGGAAUUACUGGGCGUAAAGCGUGCGUAGGUGGUUCGUUAAGUCUGUCGUGAAAGCCCCGGGCUCAACCUGGGAAUGGCGAUGGAUACUGGCGGGCUAGAGUGCGGUAGAGGAGAGUGGAAUUCCCGGGUGUAGCAGUGAAAUGCGUAGAGAUCGGGGAGGAACAUCAGUUGCGAAGGCGGCUCUCUGGACCAGCACUGACACUGAGGCACGAAAGCGUGGGGAGCA
rnacentral:rRNA from 1 species